ACUGACACGUAACGUCAUGACGUCAAUGACGUCACUUUAAGGCAAAAUUGUUUUGAAGCGUUUCUGCGCCAAUUUAUUCAUUAUUUCUGUAUUAUUAUACCAUAAAACAUCAAAUCGAAGACAAAUUCAUGAUUUGUUUUCAGAAGAAUAAAUAUACAAACACAUUUAGUUUGUCGUAAACGUCGUCGUAAAUCGUCACGUUAGCUUCCGGUUGGACAUGCGCACAUACAAAUAUGAAGGUAACCUACCUCCUUAAGAUACUAAAAGGAGAAAAACGUAUGACAGAUAAAUUACUUACUAGUAUUUUCUUCGUUUAAUAUUUCAUCGCAAGUGAAUGUUACAGUGGAUCAUGAAAAGAAUACUUCCGAAGUUGUUGGCACAGUAGCAGGCAUUGUACAACAAUGUCUGCAGCACUGGUCUGGUCUAUUGGAAUGGUCAUAUUUGAACCCGUGGGUGGUAUACUUGUAGGCGCUGGUGUUGCUGGAUUUUGUGGUAUGGCUAUUCAAGCCAUGUGGAUGACGAGACGUCUAAUCUGCGAUGUACUUAAUUGACAGGAAGCAUCGACACACAACAGUUACCUUACUAUAAGAAAUUUCAGGUUCAGUAUUGAAACGUCAUGCGGUAUUAAGAAGAUAGCUGUUGAUGACUUAUUUUAUUGGAAAGGUAGAGUAUUAUGAUUCUUCGUCAAAGGAUGAAUAAGAACAGCAACUUACCAAUUAAACCUUCAGACGAAGGCAGACAGCGUGCUUCAGACCUUACUGCCACUAUCACCGCUAUUAUACUAGGAAUAAUGGCUGGAUUAAUUGUUUGGCCAGCAGGCCUUGUUCACGAUACCCCCGUUCCUGGUCUUAUCAUUAUGGCUUUUGUUGCUGGAUUGACUGGAGCGAUUAUUCAAGAAGCAUGGGCACAAAACAUUCGGCAGAUUCAAAUAUUCAUAAUUUGUAUGGAGCCUGUGAUGUUUGUCAUUAUAUUUGACAUAUUUGGUCUGCGAACUGCAGCUUCUGAAUAUAUUCCAGAAGAACCAUUCUACAUAGACAUUUAGUGCAGCGACGUACAAAGAGUGCACAAACAUGAAUUCCAUAAACUGUAUACGAUAUGAUUUGAUGAAUAUUAACAGCGAGUGUGAUAUGCAUACAUGGUUACUGUAAAACGAAUUAUGGUCAGUAUCUAACACGCAACUAUGACAGGGCCCCAUGGACUGUAUACCCUAGUCAACCGCGUUCAGAAAGCUUUGUGAAACAAUCAGCAUUAAUCAUUGCGUGUUUUAAUUUCGACUUGUAUUCGUAACAGGUAAUGCUAAACUCCCUCGAAGCUACAUUAUAACGCAGGACAUCUAGUUGUAGUGGUAUUACGCUUAAAUAAAACUUCUAAUGCCCCCUUCGAUAUUUUGCCAAUAAACUAAGAUUUCAAUUUAAAUAUUUUGCAUUAAAAUAUUUUAAUCAAUAAUAUAUAAAAAUACAAAAUAAUUCAAAAUGUAUUCAUGAAAUCAUUUGAUUUUAUUCGUUUUUCGAACUCACCUUUUGAAAAGUCACAAAAAUACACAUGAAUAUCUUGAUUUUAUCAAGUUAUAUGGAUACAGAGGUUCGGAUAUUGGGUAUCAAACCAAAUAUUAGAAACAUGGCGCAGGAAAAAAAAAGCAUUUUUGUCACAGAUGUUUUCCACAACAGACAAGUUAGUUUAAUGGUAUAUUUGUCAUUGAAGUUGAGGUAGUCAGUUUUAACAUGUUUUAAACGUUUGAAAAAGUCAUAAAUGUAUUAGAAAUAAUAUAACAGAUAUUGUUAAAAUACGGAGAGGUUUUAGAAGUUCAUUAAGUAUAUGAGGUUAUAAGUGUAUUUUGCAAAUGACUAUUACUUUAAUGCAGCAUUUCGUUUUAAUACAAAACGUUAAAGUUUGCUCAUUUAGUUAUUAGAAUGAUGCUGGUAUACUUUUAUCCAUCAGAGGCUUCUCACAGUCGCAGGAGGAAUUUCUGAUUCAUUUCUUUUGUUUAUUUGUGAACACGGGUAACCGUAAAUGCCAACGGAAGUGGUAUCAGUUAACGUUUUCACCGAAUUGGAGACUCAAGCAACAUCUACGAAAACAUACUUGCUGAUAAUGAAUAAAGACGAUACAAAAUUACUGCGAUCCAUAAAAUUUACCUCUCUAAUAUCGGAUAUUAAUACAUGUAUCAAGAAAAUGAAAAUAUUCCUCGCAAUCGGCUUCGAAUACUAACGAUUUUGAUAUAUGCUCGAACACACGAAGCGAACUGAAACAGAUUUCAGUAGACCUAUGACAUGCUUAGGUUUACGAACCAGCAGCUAUUCAAAUACAGGAAAAGCCCGUACUAUCCAAUCUAUGUAUCUAUAUCAUGUCGUCUGAACUACAAAUCUUUUUUUGAAAUGAUUUGAAUAAUAUUUGUGGUACCAGAAACAAUAUGAAAUGUUAUUAUUAAGAUAGGUAAAUGUUUCUAUAUGAGACUAUAUGUUUCACACAUUUUGCAACUAAUUAGAUUUAAAUUAUCACUAUGUAAUGUAACUACAUGUUGAAGAGUUCAUUAUCUAAUAUUGUCUAAUAUUGAAGUCUCCGUAUGUUUUCGUAAUAUUAAUACAUGAACUUUUGAGCUAAUUGAUAUGCCUGUACCUUAAAACUAAAGACAACUCAUGGUUCAGGAAGGAUUUAUGCAAGUAUUUGUCUGGUAUCAAUAAUAUAUCUAUAUAUCAGUUUACAGUCCAAGGGAUGUAAUCCUUUGGAACAAAUGAAAAUUGUUUCAGUAGUAAUGUAAAUUUGUUAUAAAAACUAAAAUAAAAGGAUAUAUGUAUAUUAA
rnacentral:misc_RNA from 1 species